rnacentral:rRNA from 1 species
UGGCGGCGUGCUAAUACAUGCAAGUCGAACGCGUCUUGGUUAAUGAUGUUAGGUGCUUGCAUUUAACUGAUUUAACAUUGAGACGAGUGGCGAACUGGUGAGUAACACGUGGGUAACCUGCCCUGAAGUGGGGGAUAACACUUGGAAACAGGUGCUAAUACCGCAUAACAACGAAAACCACAUGGUUUUCGUUUGAAAGAUGGCUUCGGCUGUCACUUUUGGAUGGACCCGCGGCGUAUUAGCUUGUUGGUGAGGUAACGGCUCACCAAGGCCAUGAUACGUAGCCGACCUGAGAGGGUAAUCGGCCACAUUGGGACUGAGACACGGCCCAAACUCCUACGGGAGGCAGCAGUAGGGAAUCUUCCACAAUGGACGAAAGUCUGAUGGAGCAACGCCGCGUGAGUGAUGAAGGGUUUCGGCUCGUAAAACUCUGUUGUUGGAGAAGAACAGGUGAUAGAGUAACUGUUAUCAUCUUGACGGUAUCCAACCAGAAAGCCACGGCUAACUACGUGCCAGCAGCCGCGGUAAUACGUAGGUGGCAAGCGUUGUCCGGAUUUAUUGGGCGUAAAGCGAGCGCAGGCGGUUUUUUAGGUCUGAUGUGAAAGCCUUCGGCUUAACCGGAGAAGGGCAUCGGAAACCGGGAGACUUGAGUGCAGAAGAGGACAGUGGAACUCCAUGUGUAGCGGUGAAAUGCGUAGAUAUAUGGAAGAACACCAGUGGCGAAGGCGGCUGUCUGGUCUGUAACUGACGCUGAGGCUCGAAAG